AGGGGGAAAGGAGGGGCUCCCGCCGCUCGCUCGCCUCACGAGCUCGGCGGCGGGGCUGCGAGGAGGGAGAGGGCUGAGGAGGAGGAGGAGGCGGCCUUCGCCGGGCCUGCGUUUAGGAGGCUGGGGCCUAGCGGGACGGUCGGCCAGCCGUGUAGGGUCCGAGAAGGGAAAAGCCUCGGCUGCUCGGAGGGGGUGGCUGUGGGCUGCUCAGCGGCGCCGGUGGGCGGAGGGAGGGCGCGGCGCUGACAAGCUCUCCUCCCCCUUAUAUAUACAGUAUACAGUAUAUAUAUAGAUAGGGGAAGGGGUUGCUCGGGAGCCCCCUGGAAGUCUCGCCCCUCUCCCUCUCGGCGCCCCUUUCCCGCUCUUCACACUUGAAUUUCUUCUGUAUUUUUUUCCCUUCCAAGUCGCACCUUUUCCUCUCCGGAUUCAUGUGCUGACCGCUCGUUUCUUUUGCCUUCCUCUUCUUCCUCCUCCUCACCACCACCUUCUAUUUCUGGGCUUCCUGAGGGCAUCUGCUUGGCCGCUGUGUGUGGGGAGAGAGAGAGAGUUAGGGUGGGAACGAGAUGGGGGGCCUUUGGUCCGAUCCGUCAGGGCUGGUCUUAUAUUCCUGGAAGUCAGUGUGCCUGUUCGGAUCUGCACUGUGCACAGAAGUCCAUGUGGGGAGGAGGAGGAGGAAAAGGAAAGGAUCUGUGGCAGUCACUCCUCUGUUUGUGCAAAAUGGCAUUAAAAAAAACAGGCAAUCUCCAACAUAUAAAUAAUCCCCCUGGAACUAAAGCCAAAAGUACACUGCUCCUGGAUCAAUUAAAGAUGUUGGCUGCAUGUGAAGACUCUUGGAGAAAUCAGGCAAGUAUUGCCUUGUAAUCUGUAUGCUUUUGGCAGUGGUCUCCUCAGUCAGUUGUGCAUAUUGUUGUCCUGCUCCAAAUCAGCACAGUGUCACUUGAAAGAAAAUGUCAGAGAUUUUGAAGGCCUGUGCAGAUCUUGUUUGAGUAUGUAAAGAGAGAAUGUUGAAACUAAGUGAAUUCCUUUUGUGGAAAUGUAGCAACAUAGAAGAUUGCCUCAUACAGGAUCAGAUUAGCUGUCCACCCAGCCAAGUAUUUUUGUCUCCUCAAUGACUAUCCAAGAUAUCUCUCAGAGUUCUUGCCCAUCAUCGGCAACCUGAUCCCUCUAAUUGUGGGUGUAAAAAGAUUGAACAUGCAAAGCAUAUGCUCUUUCACUGGGCCUUGUGUAUAAAAUAAGGAUAGUGUGUGUCACAAUGUGGCUGAACUGUUGCUGUGCCAUGAAUAUAAAUGGGUGCUGAUAAGUAUUGAGCCUUUCCGAGAAAAAAUUGAGCUAGGAAGCUGUAACUGCUAUACUAUUCUACGUAUUCCCCCAGGAAGUC
rnacentral:lncRNA from 1 species